rnacentral:lncRNA from 10 species
AAAUGUCUGAUUUCUUUUAUUAAAAGUUGGAAGAAGGUCAGAUCCUAUUUGGAAGCAAGCAACUCAUGAUAUUGUUCUAAUGUAUGUUGAAGUCAAUGAGGAAACAUCUGAUGAAAAAAAUAUAGGCCCAGUUUAAAGAGGACUUGAAUGCCAACUAAGUAGUUCAGACUUGAACUAAUGACGACAUUGGCAGCCGUUUUAGGUUUCUGGGCAAGUGAAUCAACUGGUUGCCACUAAGAACCUCUUUGAGCCAAAGUUUCCCAUCUGUUUCACAGGAGAUAAUGAGUGCCUCAUCUACUAAGUCGUGCUGUGAUCACAUUAGCUGAUGAUUGGGGAAGCCAGCUACCAUAUCGAACAGCUGUAUGAAGCCUGUGUGGUAAGGAAAUGAGGCUCCUGAUAAGAGGCAGCAGGAACUGAGGCCCUUGCCAAAAGUCAUUGGAUUGAGCCAUCUUGGAAGCAGAUCUUCUAUCCCUAAUCAACACUUCAGAUGACUGCAGCCCUGGAGGCCAGAUUAACUGCAACCUCAAGAAAGUCCCUAAGCCAGGACCAGCCAGCCGAGCUACUCCUAUAUUCAUUGACCCUCAGAAAUUGUGUGAGAUAAUAAACACUUUUUAUUUUAAGUUGCUAAGAGUUGGAGUAAUUUGUUACAUAGCAAUAGAUACAGGGAUUUUGGCCAAAAGAAAGACUAAUAACACCUGGUUGAAGAGAGAGUCAUUAAGAGUUGACAUUGUCCAUGGAUACUUCUUGAGAGCAGGAGUUUCUUCUUCACCUUGACUUCUUCCAACCCACUCGGAUUGGGCCUGUGUGUAGUGCACUCUUAGUAAAUAUCUAUUGAGUUAUUGAGGGAAGAAGACCAGCCGUAAAUACCGUGAAAGUAAAAGAAGCCUAACCAUGGGUAUAAGAGGAGGGUUGGGCCAAAUAGGAGCUUCAUGUAGAGCACAUGUCCAGAGAGAUCAACCAUCCUGGUUUGCCCUGAACUGAGGGGUUUCCUUAAAUGUGGGUUGUUUAGUGCUAAAACUGGGAUAGUAAGAGGACAAAAGGAACUCAUCUAAGAAAAACAGAGUAAGUUAAAGGGAUAAACUAAUGAAAGACAGCCUAUUAUUUCUUUGAAUAUGGUAGGGUUUCUUCAUGCAUUUGUUCAGCACAUAUUAUUUUGAUUCUAUUAUAUGCUAAGUUCUGUAGGUACAAAAUGAAUUAUAAUCUCUGGCUUGAAAGAGCACAGAUAUAAAGUUGUCCUGAUUAUAUAAGAAUACAUUUGCCCUCCCUGGUAAAAUGCAAUUUCUUUCUAAAAACUUUUGAAAAGAUAUUGUUUCUGUAACUCUUUUUUUUCUACAAAUCUAGUUUUAAAUGAUGGCUGUAAAU